rnacentral:rRNA from 1 species
GAAUCACUGGGCGUAAAGGGCGCGUAGGCGGAUUAUCAAGUCUCUUGUGAAAUCUAAUGGCUUAACCAUUAAACUGCUUGGGAAACUGAUAGUCUAGAGUGAGGGAGAGGCAGAUGGAAUUGGUGGUGUAGGGGUAAAAUCCGUAGAUAUCACCAAGAAUACCCAUUGCGAAGGCGAUCUGCUGGAACUCAACUGACGCUAAGGCGCGAAAGCGUGGGGAGCAAACAGGAUUAGAUACCCUGGUAGUCCACGCCCUAAACGAUGUACACUAGUUGUUGGGAUGCUAGUCAUCUCAGUAAUGCAGCUAACGCAUUAAGUGUACCGCCUGGGGAGUACGGUCGCAAGAUUAAAACUCAAAGGAAUAGACGGGGACCCGCACAAGCGGUGGAGCAUGUGGUUUAAUUCGAAGAUACGCGAAGAACCUUACCUGGGCUUGAUAUCCUAAGAACCUUAUAGAGAUAUGAGGGUGCUAGCUUGCUAGAACUUAGAGACAGGUGCUGCACGGCUGUCGUCAGCUCGUGUCGUGAGAUGUUGGGUUAAGUCCCGCAACGAGCGCAACCCACGUAUUUAGUUGCUAACGGUUCGGCCGAGCACUCUAAAUAGACUGCCUUCGUAAGGAGGAGGAAGGUGUGGACGACGUCAAGUCAUCAUGGCCCUUAUGCCCAGGGCGACACACGUGCUACAAUGGCAUAUACAAUGAGACGCAAUACCGCGAGGUGGAGCAAAUCUAUAAAAUAUGUCCCAGUUCGGAUUGUUCUCUGCAACUCGAGAGCAUGAAGCCGGAAUCGCUAGUAAUCGUAGAUCAGCCAUGCUACGGUGAAUACGUUCCCGGGUCUUGUACUCACCGCCCGUCACACCAUGGGAGUUGAUUUCACUCGAAGCCGGAAUACUAAACUAGUU